ensembl:lncRNA
UUCCACACUAGAUAAAAAAAAAUCGUUUGCAAUGCAUAUUACAUGUUGAAAAAGCAGCUAAGGUGAAUGAGAAGCUGCUGUGUGAAAAAAAAUAUGAAAAUAGGGAAGGUGGAUCUUGUGUUUACCCUUCAUAAAAACAUUUCUUUCUAUUCACAUUUCAUUCCCCACAGGCUAACACAUCCUCACUUCCACAAAUAGGCACAAGUCAAAGGGCAGUGAGUUUGUAAAAUUGAGUCAAAUAUACAAAACAGCAGUAUUUAAUGGCGUUUCUUUUUUCACAUCAAGUGACCCCUGCAUGGAAACCGAUCUUUUUUUUUUCCUCCGGUUUCAGGAAACUCUUGGAAGGCAAAAGCAACAUCCUGAGUUGGUGAGGAGACAGGAGAGGUGCUGACAUGCCGACAGGCAGGGGAUCCUGGGAAAAGCCACAGACAGGAAGAGCCUGACUGACUUUGACCCCUGAGGUCAAGGCUGGGGGCUCGGCAACUGAAAGAUGUUUCCAAGCCACACUCAGACUAUCAUAGAGUUUUACAGGAAAUAGCUUAGAAAUACUGUACGCUGUGAAAUGUGGGAGAUCUUUUUAUUGCUUGCUCUUUUGUUUUGCUCUCUGUGAUAUAAAAUGCAUUUUGGCCCUGAGCUAUAUUUGACUUAUUUGUUUGAGGGUUACCAUAUGUAAUUGAGUUGAGCUCUAGUCUAUUUGUUUUCUCUAUAAUGUGAAAAACUACAUUCAUAUAUAUAUAUAUAUAUACGUCAAAAUAUAUAGGGGUUUUUUUCGUCUGUGAAUUUGCAGUGACUAAUAGAAUUACAGCUAAUGGGGAAGGUGGAGGCUGGGAUAAAAGCUUAGUGUUACUACAGUGCUCCAGUUUCUGACAUGUGUUUUGAAUAUAGAGAAGUUUCUCUACUUUUUAGGCUUUGUGCCGUGGGUCCCCAAAGACCCUUUACAGUUAAAUCAAAUUGGGUGAAAGAAGAUUGUCCUUUUCUCAGUUUCACAGAAGCACCCAUAAAUCAAGGCAUCCAUCGUUUGUCACACCUCUGUCUCCCAGCUCGUUGCUCAGGCCCACCGCGUUCAACUCUGAGUUUUUACGGCACAAAUGUAUCCAUCAACCCCACCGAGUGGCCGCCAGCCGCCAAGCCGCCUCAGCGAUCGAUGGGUGCGAUGUACCCUCCCUCUCGGCCUAUGUGGAGCUCUCGCUGCGUGGGAAGGGGCCCGGUCCCCUUGGCCUCGCUCUGGAUCAAGUCCCCAUAAGGCCCCCUGACCCCGUUAGAGGCGCAUGAUGGGCGGCCCUGUCACUUCAAAUGGCUGCCCAGGUCCGGUCUGAGAGUAACCCCUCACUGUGAGUAAACCUCCACGUUAUUUCUGUUUUAUAGGCUACGGGCGGAUAACUGCGUGGAAUGGAUGUGGACAACUUAGUUAUUGUCACUCAGGGCGAGGGAGUGAAUGUCGUUACUGGGUUGCGAAUGGGAGUCGAUUGAAAGGUAUGAAAAGUUAUGUGGUGUAGUUUCGCAGUCUGAGAAAAGUACGGCACAUUUCUUACCGGUGUUAGUUCCCAGUGACGAGGGAGCCUGGCUGUCAC